rnacentral:rRNA from 1 species
AUGGGGUGACUGCGUACCUUUUGUAUAAUGGGUCAGCGACUUAUAUUCUGUAGCAAGGUUAACCGAAUAGGGGAGCCGAAGGGAAACCGAGUCUUAACUGGGCGUUAAGUUGCAGGGUAUAGACCCGAAACCCGGUGAUCUAGCCAUGGGCAGGUUGAAGGUUGGGUAACACUAACUGGAGGACCGAACCGACUAAUGUUGAAAAAUUAGCGGAUGACUUGUGGCUGGGGGUGAAAGGCCAAUCAAACCGGGAGAUAGCUGGUUCUCCCCGAAAGCUAUUUAGGUAGCGCCUCGUGAAUUCAUCUCCGGGGGUAGAGCACUGUUUCGGCAAGGGGGUCAUCCCGACUUACCAACCCGAUGCAAACUGCGAAUACCGGAGAAUGUUAUCACGGGAGACACACGGCGGGUGCUAACGUCCGUCGUGAAGAGGGAAACAACCCAGACCGCCAGCUAAGGUCCCAAAGUCAUGGUUAAGUGGGAAACGAUGUGGGAAGGCCCAGACAGCCAGGAUGUUGGCUUAGAAGCAGCCAUCAUUUAAAGAAAGCGUAAUAGCUCACUGGUCGAGUCGGCCUGCGCGGAAGAUGUAACGGGGCUAAACCAUGCACCGAAGCUGCGGCAGCGACACUAUGUGUUGUUGGGUAGGGGAGCGUUCUGUAAGCCUGUGAAGGUGGCCUGUGAGGGUUGCUGGAGGUAUCAGAAGUGCGAAUGCUGACAUAAGUAACGAUAAAGCGGGUGAAAAGCCCGCUCGCCGGAAGACCAAGGGUUCCUGUCCAACGUUAAUCGGGGCAGGGUGAGUCGACCCCUAAGGCGAGGCCGAAAGGCGUAGUCGAUGGGAAACAGGUUAAUAUUCCUGUACUUGGUGUUACUGCGAAGGGGGGACGGAGAAGGCUAUGUUGGCCGGGCGACGGUUGUCCCGGUUUAAGCGUGUAGGCUGGUUUUCCAGGCAAAUCCGGAAAACCAAGGCUGAGGCGUGAUGACGAGGCACUACGGUGCUGAAGC